UUUCUGAGCCUUUUAUAGCAGGGAGAGGAGAGCUGAAGGAAGGAUUUUUCUCCCCUGUGUGUCUUGAGCUGCUGUUGGUGCACCUACAGCCAGGCUCUGAGUCACCAGUUAAAUGCCCUGGGGAUUAAAACAGGCCACUUGAUUACA